AGCACAGAGCCUGACGCGGGGCUUGAACACACGAACUGUGAGAUCACGCCCUGAGCUGAAGUCGGAAGCUUAACCCACAGAGCCCCCCAGGCGCCCCACCCUUGGGAUUUCCUAAUUGCUCGGAGCUAGAAAGGUGUCUUGUUAUCCUUAACAAACCCGUUUCAAACACACCUGAGUUUAUAUUAAUGAGGUGAUUUCUAGAAAGCGCCUAAGCCUGCCAUCUGGGUGCCAGAGGAAGCCACGGAGAGAUUGGAGGGUUGCAAUUUUCAGUCCCACCCCUAGCCUUCCGGGGAAAGAAGUCCCUAGGUAACGAAGCCUCCUUAAAACCCAGAAAAGGGCUGGGUUCCGAGAGGUUCCAGAAGAGGGGCAAAGCAGGCGUGGAAGGUCGGCGUCCUUUCCCAGAGCUUGCUGGGUGCGUCUUUUCCACUUGGCUGUUAACAGUGACCGUCUAGAAGGUGUUUGCAGAACAGAGUCUUUCGUGGAAGAGAGGCCAGCACUGCACGGACGCACCUUGAAAGCCCCAGCUCCCAAUUCUGUUUCCUGCCACGGUGCUGUGCCACCCUGACCACUUUGGCGUCCUACGUCCCCGGCUUCAAGUUGAAUUUCUUAUACUAAAUAUUGAACUAAACAUGGAGUUGGUGGAUUUACACUGGGUUUUGCUGUCUUUCGGUCUGGAAGAAGCCCGAACUCCGGGGAUGUGGGUGGUACAGAUCAGCCGGAGGAGAGGACCUAAGAGAGGAAGGUUCCAGGCACCCAUUGAGAUGUGUGACUAUUUCAAAAGAAAGCUGUCCUCGGAAGAACCUGUGUUGUCAUCAUCCAAAGCCUUAGAGAGGCCAGCAUGGCCGUCAGAGUCCCUGUGGAAUUGUCCACCUGUCUCUCCCAAUAACACCCGCUCCCCAAAAAAUAAGUAAAUAAAUUAUGAUGGGGCACCUA